UGUGAACACCAACCAACGGCAGCCAUAAUUCGUACCCGCCAUAACUGGAGCCCAUCUCGCCACCACAGCACCCUGAGCUGAGAGGUUUGACUCCAGAAAGCUGCCAGGUCCGAAGAAGUAACCGCCGCUCCAGCAAUGUCAUCCUCCAAUCCUCAGUGGAGUGCGGCUUGCAGGCGGCAGAGAUCAUGAAGGGCACGCAGAGGCAGUUGACACCAGGAUCACUGCCUGAGGCGGCGGGAACCAUGGGCUCAGCCCUUCCCUGGCCCCACCAGUCACCUCACGACCAACAAGGCGGUCUGGGAGCUGGCACCUCCAGAGUGGAGCUCCCGUCUGCCAGUUUGUACAGCGGUUGUGCCUGGGGCCUUUGAAAAGGUAACUGAACCCAGCUGGACAAGGGGCCUGGAGGAAAAGCAGUCUUAAUCGAGGGCAGUUCGUGGAACUCUGUCUGCACACAUCAGCACUUCAAAGAAGGGCUAGGCAGAGCAUGCCGUCGUCCUGCUGAGCACUUACACCUUAUCCGACAUGUAGUAAUCACUUCCUGCUUAUUCAAAGAGUGACUGAAUGAAUAAAUGAACAACUACUUCUCUUAAUGAACAUGGAGUGAAUCGAGAACAAAGGAGGCAGUUACCAGUAUUGAGAAAUAACCUACUGGCUUCAAGCUCCUUAUGAGGAAGACGACUUGGUGUUUUCUCGGUGUACAGAUCCUUCUUCCUUACCUGGCGUGGCUUCUGCAAGUGAUCAGACACGGCAAGUUCUUUUGCUUCCUAAAGUGGCAAACACUCACAAGUGGUCAAAAAACUUUUUGCUUAACGUUCCCCAGAUCCCAAAUGAAUGGUAAGGCAUA